CCAUUCGGGCCACUGUUAAUCUGGUCUCCGGCUCACUUGACUCCAAAGUCUUCGCUCUUAGACUACGGGAUUGCGGUGGCAGGGAGGGACACAAAGCAGCGACGAGGACUUGGCGAAUGAGAGAUCCAGGGCGACAGGUGUGAGGUCUCAUCCCUGGUUUCCUGAAGCCGGAGCCUCAUCGCUGGACUAGUCGGCCGAUUCCGGGGGUCCAGGAGUCCGCCUGUGCAGGGAGGAUGAAGCCGGACUGGCAUCCCGCGCAGAGGGGGGUCCCCAAUCCUGAGCUUGUGGCAGGAACGCUCACUUCUUGCCAACAGUCCAUCUCGCCAUCCACUAGAGUGGGAGCCCUGCUCCGUGGAAAAACCUUAUCGAAUGGUCUGGUGAUCAUUUUAGAGUCCAGGUGGCAGAUAGAGCUGGCCUCCGCAAGAUGUCGGUGAUCCCCGAAAUUGCAAAGUGGCUCCCACAGAACAUUGGAGAGACCUGUACUAGGAGGCAGAGAAGGCAGGCACCUAACUUCGGUCUGUGGAGCUUCCUCUAAGGAUGGAGAGGUCCCCGGGACCCCUACAUGUGUGGAACUUGCCAGUCGAGGACACUGUUCUCCCCCAUCUCCUGUUCCAGGCUCGCCAGGUGCUUGCUAGGAAGGCGGAGGGGAAAGGCGACUCAAGGAGGGCGAAUAAGCCAUCCCAACCUAGGGGAAGGGUAACUUUGCCUAGGGCUUCUUUCUGCCUUGGUUCAACUUUCCUGGCUGCUAGGUUCCAGUCCCUGACCCCACCAUAGAACCUCAGCCCCGUUCCCCAGCCUCUGCCCUAGGUUCUGUCACUGGAUCUCAAGGCAUCUGAAAGUUUCUCAUCACUGUGGGCUGUCUCUGAGGGGGCAGAGAACUUCAAAUGACCCACAGACAUUUAGUUCCCACACCCAGGGCUGCUGGGUCCAAGGAGUCACCCAAAUCCAGUACCAGACACCAGGCUACAUUUGCUUGUCAGGGCAAGCUGGUGCCAGCAGUCCUGUGGGCGGGUUUUUAGCCCAGCACUGUCUGGGAAGCAUGUCAGUACAUGCAAGAUCCCAGGAAGUUCUUCUUCAGGUCUAGCUGUAAAUGGGAUUUGUUGCAAACAUGCUGGUUCUCCCCAGAGCCCUCCUAGGGAGGUCCCACACUGCAUUAUCGCACCAACACAGUCCGAACUGUCACCACUUGGGACUCUAAAUCCCUACACUCAUUCCCAAAUGUAUUCCCUAGUAACGCUCCAUCUUCCCAACACUGGCUAAGUUCCCACCUCCUGCCCUUGGUUCCCUGUUUCCUCUGCAGGGUGCCUUUUCCACAGGGCUGAAGACCUCCCAGGAGACAUUGGCCCAACAGCGAGAUGAGUUGAGCGUUUGGAAGCUGACCCCCUUUCUCUACUUUCUCUCUGGCUCUCUUGGUGGAAAUGGGUACAAAUCUGGGAAUAUCCAGGGUGACACGAAUGGCCAAGGUCUCCCAAGCACCUAACGUGGAUCCUAGCGUGCAAUGAGUACUUAAUAAAUGCUGAUUAGUGAGGAGUUAGGGAAGGCUCUCCGGGGGUGAGGGCCAGGCAAGGAAGUAAAUACAAUCCAGGCAGAAGAGAGAGUGAGGUGGUGGUUGGUAUACAGGCUCCACAGCAGAAUACAUCUGAAGGAGAUCAGAAGUGGCCAUGCAAACUCAUCCUUUAGAGAAGUAGGUGAGGGGCUUAAGGUCCCUUCCUCUAGCCUUGUGGCCACAGACUCUGGCUACCUCCAAGUUUUCAUUCCUUCCUUGUAGAAAGGAAACCAAGAUCCUGACUCAGGGUCUUUGGGGAAACAGCUUUAUUGAGGUACAAGUCACAUACUAUCCAAAGCCAGAGGUCACUGACUUCCAGAAUUUUCAUAUGCUGUGCAAUCAUGACUAUCAUCAAUUUUAAGUUUUAUUCUAUUUUAACUGCAUGAGUGUUUUUGCCUGCAUGUUUGUAUGCAUACUGCAUAUGCCUGGUGCUUGAGGUCAGUCUGGUUCCCUGGGACUAGAGUUACAAACAGUUCUGAGAUACUAUGUGGGUGCCAGAAAUUAAGCUCAAGUCCUCUGGAAAAUCAGUCAUUAUCUUUUGGGGGAGUUGAGAGGGGUUAUUUAUUUCACAAGACCAGAUUUCUUUGUGUAGCCUUAGAGACCAGACUGGCCUCAAACUCAGAGGUCCACCUGCCUCUGCCUCCAGGGCGCUGGGUUUAAAGGUGUGCGCCACCACCGCCUGGCUGUAGUCAGUGCUCUUAACCACUGAUCAACUCUCACUUCUAUCCAGUUUUGAACAUUUUUAUCGCUCUCAAAAGGAACCCUAGACCCGUUAGCAGUCAUUCCGUGUUAUCUCUCCCCAGAUGUGCCUGGUGGCAAGGCACCAAGGCACUUUUGCCUCUCUGGACUUGCGGGCCUAUUUCCUAGAAAUCGACUCAUCGCUGACUGUCAGUUUGUCUCUGUCUUCUCGCAGGCUCUUCCAUUGUGCUGCACACUGAGGCUCCAUUCCUGCAGUGUCUUUUAGUUCCUUCAUGUGGGAACUUCAUACAGGAAGCUCCCUGUCUCCCUUCAACCACUGGAGAACCUGUGGAUAAUGUCCACUUUCUCAUUAUCACUAUUAUCGCUACUAGGAACAUCCAUCUGCAAGGUCUUGGGAUUUUGCUUUGGAGGGGAAUUUCUAGAUCUUAAGUUCAACCCCCAGCACUGCAAUAAAUAAGGAAAUGUAGCAACAGCCCAAGCUUCAUGUUUAUUGAUUUCCAAUGGAUUACUCCAGAAAGGAUUCAAGAUGGGGUGAGUUUCAGCACCACCCAUGCUCCCAGACGUCAAGAGCUCCCAAGCACAUACAGUAAGGUACAGUGGCUUUAUCUUGGGAAGGGACACCCCUGCGGGUAUGAACUGGAGGGAGCGAUGAGAUCAGCCUCGGCCUACUCCCCUCCCUGAAGGUCACAGGUCAUCACGACCCUGGCUGACUUAGGAGGAUUUAA